UUUAUGGAGAGUUUGAUCCUGGCUCAGGAUGAACGCUGGCGGCGUGCCUAAUACAUGCAAGUCGAGCGAACGGACGAGAAGCUUGCUUCUCUGAUGUUAGCGGCGGACGGGUGAGUAACACGUGGAUAACCUACCUAUAAGACUGGGAUAACUUCGGGAAACCGGAGCUAAUACCGGAUAAUAUUUUGAACCGCAUGGUUCAAAAGUGAAAGACGGUCUUGCUGUCACUUAUAGAUGGAUCCGCGCUGCAUUAGCUAGUUGGUAAGGUAACGGCUUACCAAGGCAACGAUGCAUAGCCGACCUGAGAGGGUGAUCGGCCACACUGGAACUGAGACACGGUCCAGACUCCUACGGGAGGCAGCAGUAGGGAAUCUUCCGCAAUGGGCGAAAGCCUGACGGAGCAACGCCGCGUGAGUGAUGAAGGUCUUCGGAUCGUAAAACUCUGUUAUUAGGGAAGAACAUAUGUGUAAGUAACUGUGCACAUCUUGACGGUACCUAAUCAGAAAGCCACGGCUAACUACGUGCCAGCAGCCGCGGUAAUACGUAGGUGGCAAGCGUUAUCCGGAAUUAUUGGGCGUAAAGCGCGCGUAGGCGGUUUUUUAAGUCUGAUGUGAAAGCCCACGGCUCAACCGUGGAGGGUCAUUGGAAACUGGAAAACUUGAGUGCAGAAGAGGAAAGUGGAAUUCCAUGUGUAGCGGUGAAAUGCGCAGAGAUAUGGAGGAACACCAGUGGCGAAGGCGACUUUCUGGUCUGUAACUGACGCUGAUGUGCGAAAGCGUGGGGAUCAAACAGGAUUAGAUACCCUGGUAGUCCACGCCGUAAACGAUGAGUGCUAAGUGUUAGGGGGUUUCCGCCCCUUAGUGCUGCAGCUAACGCAUUAAGCACUCCGCCUGGGGAGUACGACCGCAAGGUUGAAACUCAAAGGAAUUGACGGGGACCCGCACAAGCGGUGGAGCAUGUGGUUUAAUUCGAAGCAACGCGAAGAACCUUACCAAAUCUUGACAUCCUUUGACAACUCUAGAGAUAGAGCUUUCCCCUUCGGGGGACAAAGUGACAGGUGGUGCAUGGUUGUCGUCAGCUCGUGUCGUGAGAUGUUGGGUUAAGUCCCGCAACGAGCGCAACCCUUAAGCUUAGUUGCCAUCAUUAAGUUGGGCACUCUAAGUUGACUGCCGGUGACAAACCGGAGGAAGGUGGGGAUGACGUCAAAUCAUCAUGCCCCUUAUGAUUUGGGCUACACACGUGCUACAAUGGACAAUACAAAGGGCAGCGAAACCGCGAGGUCAAGCAAAUCCCAUAAAGUUGUUCUCAGUUCGGAUUGUAGUCUG
rnacentral:rRNA from 1 species